AUACGUAGGGUGCGAGCGUUGUCCGGAAUUACUGGGCGUAAAGAGCUCGUAGGUGGUUUGUCGCGUCGUCUGUGAAAUUCCGGGGCUUAACUCCGGGCGUGCAGGCGAUACGGGCAUAACUUGAGUACUGUAGGGGAGACUGGAAUUCCUGGUGUAGCGGUGAAAUGCGCAGAUAUCAGGAGGAACACCGGUGGCGAAGGCGGGUCUCUGGGCAGUAACUGUCGCUGAGGAGCGAAAGCAUGGGUAGCGAACAGGAUUAGAUACCCUGGUAGUCCAUGCCGUAAACGGUGGGCGCUAGGUGUAGGGGUCUUCCACGACUUCUGUGCCGUAGCUAACGCAUUAAGCGCCCCGCCUGGGGAGUACGGCCGCAAGGCUAAAACUCAAAUGAAUUGACGGGGG
rnacentral:rRNA from 1 species